rnacentral:rRNA from 2 species
ACUGUGAGUAUACUUAGUGGCGGACGGGUGAGUAACGCGUGAGCAAUCUGCCCUGCAAUGGGGGACAACAGUUGGAAACGACUGCUAAUACCGCAUAAGACCACGAAACCGCAUGGUUUAGAGGUAAAAGGAUUCAUUCGAUGCAGGAUGAGCUCGCGUCCCAUUAGAUAGUUGGUGAGGUAACGGCCCACCAAGUCAACGAUGGGUAGCCGACCUGAGAGGGUGAUCGGCCACAUUGGAACUGAGAAACGGUCCAAACUCCUACGGGAGGCAGCAGUGGGGAAUAUUGGGCAAUGGGGGAAACCCUGACCCAGCAACGCCGCGUGAAGGAAGAAGGCCUUCGGGUUGUAAACUUUUGUCCUAUGGGACGAAAAAAAUGACGGUACCAUAGGAGGAAGCUCCGGCUAACUACGUGCCAGCAGCCGCGGUAAUACGUAGGGAGCAAGCGUUGUCCGGAAUUACUGGGCGUAAAGGGUGCGUAGGUGGCCAUGUAAGUCAGGUGUGAAAGACCGGGGCUCAACCCCGGGGUUGCACUUGAAACUGUGUGGCUUGAGUACAGGAGAGGGAAGUGGAAUUCCUAGUGUAGCGGUGAAAUGCGUAGAUAUUAGGAGGAACACCAGUGGCGAAGGCGACUUUCUGGACUGUAACUGACACUGAGGCACGAAAGCGUGGGGAGCAAACAGGAUUAGAUACCCUGGUAGUCCACGCCGUAAACGAUGGAUACUAGGUGUGGGGGGCGAUAGUCCUCCGUGCCGAAGCUAACGCAUUAAGUAUCCCGCCUGGGGAGUACGAUCGCAAGGUUGAAACUCAAAGGAAUUGACGGGGGCCCGCACAAGCAGCGGAGCAUGUGGUUUAAUUCGAAGCAACGCGAAGAACCUUACCAAGGCUUGACAUCCUCUGACGCAUAUAGAGAUAUAUGUUCCCUUCGGGGCAGAGAGACAGGUGGUGCAUGGUUGUCGUCAGCUCGUGUCGUGAGAUGUUGGGUUAAGUCCCGCAACGAGCGCAACCCUUGUUGCUAGUUGCCAGCACGUAAAGGUGGGAACUCUAGUGAGACUGCCGGGGACAACUCGGAGGAAGGUGGGGACGACGUCAAAUCAUCAUGCCCCUUAUGUCUUGGGCUACACACGUGCUACAAUGGCCGGUACAAAGGGCAGCGACCUCGUAAGAGUAAGCGAAUCUCAAAAAGCCGGCCCCAGUUCGGAUUGUGGGCUGCAACCCGCCCACAUGAAGUCGGAGUUGCUAGUAAUCGCGAAUCAGCAUGUCGCG